rnacentral:rRNA from 1 species
UACGUAGGUGGCAAGCGUUGUCCGGAUUUAUUGGGCGUAAAGCGCGCGCAGGUGGUUCCUUAAGUCUGAUGUGAAAGCCCCCGGCUCAACCGGGGAGGGUCAGUGGAAACUGGGGAACUUGAGUGCAGAAGAGGAUAGUGGAAUUCCAAGUGUAGCGGUGAAAUGCGUAGAGAUAUGGAGGAACACCAGUGGCGAAGGCGACUAUCUGGUCUGUAACUGACACUGAGGCGCGAAAGCGUGGGGAGCAAACAGG